rnacentral:piRNA from 1 species
AAGAGUUAUUUGAACACUAAGAAGA